AGUGAACGCUGGCGGUAGGCCUAACACAUGCAAGUCGAACGGCAGCACAGUAAGAGCUUGCUCUUACGGGUGGCGAGUGGCGGACGGGUGAGGAAUACAUCGGAAUCUACUUUUUCGUGGGGGAUAACGUAGGGAAACUUACGCUAAUACCGCAUACGACCUACGGGUGAAAGCAGGGGAUCUUCGGACCUUGCGCGAUUGAAUGAGCCGAUGUCGGAUUAGCUAGUUGGCGGGGUAAAGGCCCACCAAGGCGACGAUCCGUAGCUGGUCUGAGAGGAUGGUCGGCGACACUGGAACUGAGACACGGUCCAGACGCCUACGGGAGGGAGCAGUGGGGAAUGUGGGACAAUGGGCGCAAGCCUGAUACAGCCAUACCGCGUGUGUGAAGAAGGCCUUCGGGUUGUAAAGCCCUUUUGCUGGGGAAGAAGAGCAGUAGGUUAAUACCCCGCUGGUGUGACGGUACCCAGAGAAUAAGCACCGGCUAACUUCGUG
rnacentral:rRNA from 1 species